CCGAGCCGCCGGCCGGCCCGAGCAUGAUCCGCCCAUUUCUUCGGAGCUGCCCUAAUAGAAGUUAAGUGAGAGGCGGUUCAGAGAGGGAGGAAGGCAGGAGAAAUGAUCGCAGCUCUGGGGCCUGGUUACAUUACUCAUCUUUUAUGGUGUUGCACGUAGCAAGGUUAUGACUAACAAAGGAUCAUCUUGUAAAGGGGCCUGACUGGAGUCUUGUUUUUUAGUUUUCUACAACUAGCAAAAUAGAUGUAAAACCUCUUGGCAAGUAAAUAGUAGAUGUCUUUGGUUGUUGCUUCACUCUUAAUGGUAAAUUCUGAAGAUGAGAAUUUUGAAAUAAAACACUCCAGUUUUGCGGGGUUCUUUGAAAUCCAAACCCACAUUUGAAUAUAGUAGGAUCUGUGUCUAUAAUGGACCAAUCUAGAACCCCAGUUGCUAAGUCCUGAUCCUGCAAAUACUGAAGCUUGUGCACAACUUGACUCAUCUAUGAAGUCCAACUGUCUUCAGCAGAACUACUCACGGAAGUAGUGUUAUGCAUGCACUUAAAAUUUUGCAGAAUUAAGAUUGUAUACUCUUUUGGGAGCAGAGAUGUGGGAUAUGUUGACCAGAGAGUAGAAGAGCUAUUAGAGAUGGGACAAAGACCACAAGGAAGACCCCGAAAAAGGUGGUUUGAGAUGCUGAAGAAAGAUAUGAAGAAGGUUGGUGUCAGCUUGGAAGACACACUUGACAAAAAUAUUUGGAAACAAAGUACAAGAGCUGCCAACCCCAACUGAUGGGAGAAGACAAAGGUGAAGAGACUCUUUGGGGCAGGGACUGUUUCUUACUAAUGAUGUGUUUGUACGGUGCCUAACGCAAUGGAGCCCUGACAUGCGUUGGGGCUUCUAGGUGCUAAUACAAUAAUCAUUGAUAUAAUUAAUUAUCAGAAACAAAUUUGGCACCGUGCCAUAGGCUUCAUAUAACUAGUGAUUAUUGCUGAGAGUUUCUCAGUUGCUUUGAUUUGAGGGCAUUUCCUUCCAAAAAUAAUGUAUCUAUGUCAAGUUUUAAUGGUAAACUCAAGAAUGUCCCCUUAAAAUUGAUGUUUUAAACAUGAGAAAGAUUACCAAAAUAUUACCACUAAACUUGUGUAAAUAAAUAGAUCCAUGGAGAGGUAAACACAUAAAUAUGUAGGUACCCUGUGCUAAACAUGGAUUCCUGGGAUGUACCUCACCUCUGUAGCACUCCUUUCACUGCCUGUGAGUUGUUUGUGGAAGAAUAACCGGGGCAGCUGUCCCCAUGCUCCUGUGUUUGUAAUAUGGAUGAACUAUCAUACUCUUCAGCCAGAGACCUAUAAUUAAACAGUAUGUACAAUGAAGAAAUUAUCGACUGUACUACAGCAACAAUUCAUAAAUAGUGGUUCCCAGGCAUGAUUUACUUAUGUGUUUUAUCUCUAAACCUUAAAGUUGCAUUCACAUUAUUUUUUGGUAUGGACUUUUGUUAUUUGUUAAGCAUUGAGAGUGUCCUGGGAACUCUACAAAACACAGAAGAACUUUCCGUAUCUGUCCCCACAUAGUCCCUGAUCCUGCAGAAAUGUACAAAUCUAAGACCCCAACCUUGGAAAGUCAGUGGGAUUACCCACAUGUGUAAAGUUAAGUGUACGCAAAAUCUUUGCAGGGUUAAGGAUUAAAGAAAAUGUACCCCUGUAUCAGUGUACAUUACUUGGUUAUAGGAUGUUCCCAUGCAAUCCAUGGUGCAUUCUUUAGUGAACUAGAAAGUGGAUUUCAUAGCAGAGGGAAUAGCAGUUUUACCAAAUUAAGUUAACAUGUCUGUUGAAUGUCUGUUGAAUGCUACAGCCUGUUAAUGGCAGCUCUGAGCACACAUUUCUGGCGUUAGCACACUUUUUUCAUUUAACUUUAAAAUUCACCUGUUUUGUGAACCAAUUUUUUAAACCAGCCUCCAAAAUUGCAGAUACACCAGAGGUGCAUUGUACUUGCAAAUUGUCUAAUUAGAUAUUCCUCAAGCAAAACUUGUAAGCACAAUCUUGUGCUGAACACCUGUAACUCCCAUUGAAAUCAAUAGAACUUUCUGCAGGUGCUCAUCAGGCCACUUUUAUUUGUCUAAACUUAGAUGCCUGACUUUAGACACCCAGGUUUGAAAAAUGUGACCAUAGUGACCAGUCUGUAAACAAGCCAUAGGCUAUAAUUUGACUUCAGUGGGAGCUCUGGGUGUUCAGCACCUCGGAAAAUCAGAAUACUUUUUAUUUAGAAGCCAAAACAUGGAUUGAGUCGUCUAAAUUUGGCCACAAAAUAUGAAAGUAUUAGCCCCUGAGCAUUCACAACUUGUUAUUCACUUUUGUUUUUGCUAUAUGAUCAAUUAUCUGAGUCACAGGAUAUUAUUUCAGUUCCCUGCUUUGAUGAACUAAGCUUUAGAAACUUGAAAGAAUCCCCUUUUCUGUGUGUAAAAUUUAUCUACAAACAUUUGUAACUGUGUAGUGGUUUUCUGAAAAAAAGUUUUUCUAAAUGGUUUUCCCAGUGUUUAAUGCUCACAAAUAUUUAUUCAGAAUAGUAUUCAUCUUGCUUAGCUUUUAGUGGACUUUCUUGAUAAUAAAAAGUGGCUCAGUUGAACGUCUACAAAUAAUCCGACAAAAAGGGUUGUGAAUGCCAGCAAAGUGGGAUUUACUCACAACUAUAUUUUUUACAGUAUUGUCCCAACUCAAGGCAUGAGCCACUUUGCAGGAUGGUGAAACAUUCAAAUAGUCAUUACCAAGUUAUUUUUUGACUAGCUGAACUCAUUUUUAAGGAAGCCAAAUAAUUUGACUAACAAAUAUAGUCACAUUUUACCUUAUCCUAAUUAAUUACAAUGGGCAGUGUAUCACAGGUAGGUUAAAAGCUAAACUUCUUAUGAAUGGAAGAGAAAAGACAGGGACAGACAUCUGUCUCCUGUCACUCUCAUGCAAACUAAUAAAAAUUAAAAAAUCCCGAGAGCAGAAUUUGACCUACUUAGUAUACUUGACUUACCUCCUGUUUCUAUUCUCCAUCCUUCCUAUGCCCGCAUCAGCAUUCUGUACUGCCAGUUUGGGAACAUUUAUAUAGGAGCGAUGGGUGUUAAUCACACCAACCUUCAUGGUCAGAUUGGUACUCCUUGGUUGAGAAGGGAGGAAUCAUUUCAAAAUGAAAAAAAGUACUUUUAUGGUUCUAUACAAAAAGAAACCCCGGAAUGGCUAACAUCUGCAUGUUACAUGGUCUAGGGCAAAGAGUAGAAAAUUGAUCAUAGAAAUUAGAGAGAUGCAAUUUAAACAUAGAUCUCUUUGCUCUUGAUUCAAUCAUUAUACAUCUGGAAAACAGGAGGUAGAAUCAGGAAAAAGCAACAACCCAGAAUGUCUUCCCAAUAACAGAAAAUGGGACCAUUCAACCAAACAAAAAUAUAAAUGUAAUAAGACACAAUUGUAUGUUUUAAGAAGGUUAAGCAAGGCUGCUUUUCAAUGUAAUUCUAGAUAUAUGGAUGUGAUUUAAAUUUAUUAUGUACAAUUCAAUAAAAAUACAUAGAACACAUUGUCUGUAUUCACAAUACUUGUAUUACAGCAUUAAAAUCUAGCUCUAUGUAAUGUACCUGA